rnacentral:lncRNA from 1 species
UUUAGCCACACAUUUUAGGAAGGUAAUUAAGGAACUAAAAUUAAUCCAGAAGAGAGUCAACAGUAUGGUGAAAGCAUCUGAUUUCAUGCCAUAAAAGGAAAUAAGGACAGAACUGAAGAAGUUAAGCAAAGGAGGAAAAGUCACUACAGGAACAACAUCUGUUAAACAUGAAAGCUCCAAAAGGAAAAUUCAUCCACAAGAGUAGUCACACGUAAAUUGAAGAGGAUUUGCCUAAAGUUGUUUUGCCAGAACAAAUUUCAUUGGAAUUGAAAACUUCCUUUGCCCAAUAAUAACUACAAAACAAUAACAGCAACAACAGCAAUGAAUACAACAGUGACAACAUUGACAACAAUGAUGAUAAUGAAAGUACUUUAUACAUGCUGACACAAUGCUCAUAUUGUCAUAAGGAUGGGAUUGGACAGGAGAAAAAUGAUGACUUUAGUAUUAGAGGCCUCACAUUAAAAAGCCAGUUUUGCUAUUUUUUCCUGAUGUGAUCAUGAGUAAAUCAGUCCUCUGGACCACAGUUUCCCCAAAUUUAAAAUGGGCAGGCAGAGAACCCUUACCAAAAGGUCAGCAAAAUAGAAGAACCAUAUUUUCUACAGUAGUUUUAGGUAAGUUGAGAUAACAUAGACCCUAUUCAAAGUUGUUCAUUGUCCAAUGAAUGGUGUUUCCUCAGGUACUCCAAAGCAGAGGAGUGUAAAUUUUCUGAUUUAAAAAUGUUUGUUGGUGGAUUUUGUGGUUCUUGUCUUUUUUUCAGAACAACAGAAAGACUGGACUGAGCUGGAUCACAGGAAACUGUUCUCCCUCCACAGGAAUUAUCAGUAUUAUCUAGCCUGCAGCUAGAUAAUACUGGUCAUGAUGAGGCAAAACACACA